rnacentral:misc_RNA from 1 species
UGGUUCUGGCAUCGAUGAAGAACGCAGCGAAAUGCGAUAAGUAGUGUGAAUUGCAGAAUUCAGUGAAUCAUCGAAUCUUUGAACGCACAUUGCGCCCUUUGGUAUUCCGAAGGGCAUGCCUGUUCGAGCGUCAUUAUACACCAUCAAGCCUGGCUUGGUGUUGGGUGGUUGUCGUGCCGUGUGUAUCGACUCGCCUCAAAUUCAUCGGCGGCCCGUCGUAGGCUUGCAGCACAGUAGACUGGUAGCUGUUUGGCCAUGCCACGCGCCCGCCGCAAUGCGUCUUUCUAUACUCGACCUCGGAUCAGGUAGGGAUACCCGCUGA